rnacentral:lncRNA from 1 species
CGUUCUGUUCAAAGAGCUCUUUCCCCUUUGGUUAUUAAUAAAUCAGGUGAUAGCCAUGGUUGGGAAGAGAGAAAGCUUCAAAAAUACCGAUGAAUCUAUGUAAGAAUUAAAUAGUAGCACACACAACAGGCAACAGCACAGUAAACAGAGAGGGGGGAAAGAAAGAUUUAAUUACUCGUGAUUUUGCCUCCUCCAAGUUUUUUGCUUAAUUUAUCAUCCACUAGAAUAAGAUUGAUUCCCUCAAUUUCCUAUCGUUUAUUACAAAAAAAACAAAAAACUUAAAAACUCUUAUAUAUAACCGAAACCUAAAAACCAAUAUAAACCGAAUGAUAUACUAUUAAUUAUUUGGUGUAGAUUAUUCGGUUAACCCGAAUCAAUCUUAUUUGGUUUUUUUAGGUUAAUUUUCAAUAAUUUAGUUAAUCUUAUAUUUAAAAUUUUAUAACUAUGGAAUUUAGUUUGCAUUUGUCAAAGGUUACUGAUGUAACGAAAUGCGCGAAGGAGUUUAGAAUGAUCAGGCUUCAAGUUGCUAAAGAGGGAUCUUUUGGUUGAUGAGCGUAGGUCAAAAUGUAAGUUAUAACCGUUUAUCUAUCAGCAAUCAAUUUUUUUUUUAAUAUUUUGUUUAUAUUAGAAAAACUCUUACAAUUUCAGUUAUCUUUCACAUUAACCUAAAUAUCCAUGUUUUUUAAAAAAUUACCGAUUGUUUUGUGACUAUUUUGUGGCAUGAUAUUUAUCUUUUUCGUUUUUAGGUUAGCAUAUAACAAAAAUAAAUGGAGUUGCAUAUUGUUUAAGGUAAAACAUAAGAAAUAUAUAAUUUACUCAACGACUAUUUGCUUAAGCAAAAAUAAGUGACAUCGUUUAUUUUUUUCUAUGUCAAUCUAAAAAACGGACAAGGUAAAUGUCAUGUCACAAAACAACCCGAUAACUUGUUAAAAAAUGAAUAUUUUGGUAAAUUUGAAACAAAACAACCUGAUAACUUGUUAAAAAAUGGAUAUUUUGGUAAAUUUGAAAAGUAAUUGAAAAUAUAAGGGUUUUUGCUGCAUAUAAAUAAAAUAUAUUGGUUUUUACGAAUGCUGGUAGAUAAAUAGUUGUGCUUUUUUGUAUUUUGUCCUGUAAUUUUCAUGUAUAUUUGAUCGCAACAAAAAUUUAAGGAGAGUCAUAAACUGGCAACCCAUGAUAGGCUCACGAUUACGGUCAUAUGCCCAAGUUAGAUGGUAUAAACUCAAGAGUGUACAGUGGUUGUUAUGACUUUACUUAACUCUCCCAUAAAGGUGAUAUUGAUAGUGUUGGUAUAAGAUGACAAUAUAUGUGGUGUAAAAAACAAUGACAAGAUGUGUUUCUGACAAAUAUGUGUGUGCUCCUUGUAGGAGGUAGAUGGAGCACGGUCGUAUGGUGGUUGUAGAGGCUCAUGUCGCUAAUGGAUGUCUACGGUUAAUGGUUGGUAUUUUAGCGAAUCGCGAUUAAGAGUUAGACACUUGGGUGAGAGUGUUUGUUGUCUUAACCUUCCAAGCUAGAGUGUUAUUGAUUAGUGUGGUCGACAACUCUCAUGAGAGAACAAUCACUCACAUCUUAGUAAAUGAAACCACACAUAACCCAUGACAUGAAUAAUAAGACUUCGGAAAUCACCAUUAUGGGCCCUAGAAGAAACUCGAGGAUAGUCAGGCUUCCAUAUUCACUCUCAAAGUAAUGCAAUAUCCACUUAACAGUGGAGGAACCCAAAUGUCGAAUCAUAGCGCGAUUUGCAAGCUUUCUAAUGUAGAUAUAGAUAUGAAAUUUACUUUGCGAAUUUUCUAAUGUUAACAUUCAGCAAGUUGUUAAAAUAGGUAUUGGUUUCUUUUACAAGUUCAAAUUCUUGCUUUUAAUAGUAAACAAGUGUUAAAGUUGA